GCUGGGCGCGGUCGCCCACUCCUGUAAUCCCAGCCACUCGGGAGGCCGAGGCAGGAGGAGCGGGGAUUUGAGGCCAGCCUGGGCCACUUAGCGACACCCUCAACAAGAACCUGUCUCAA
rnacentral:sRNA from 1 species